rnacentral:rRNA from 1 species
UACGUAGGUGGCAAGCGUUGUCCGGAAUUAUUGGGCGUAAAGCGCGCGCAGGCGGCCUCUUGAGUCUGAUGUGAAAGCCCCCCGGCUCAACCGGGGAGGGCCAUUGGAAACUGGGAGGCUUGAGUAUAGGAGAGAAGAGUGGAAUUCCACGUGUAGCGGUGAAAUGCGUAGAGAUGUGGAGGAACACCAGUGGCGAAGGCGACUCUUUGGCCUAUAACUGACGCUGAGGCACGAAAGCGUGGGGAGCCAACAGGG